rnacentral:rRNA from 1 species
UACGUAGGAGACAAGCGUUGUCCGGAAUUACUGGGUGUAAAGCGCGUGUAGGCGGUAGGCCAAGUCUGCUGUGAAAUCGCCCGGCUCAACUGGGCGCGGUCGGUGGAAACUGGUCAACUGGAGGACGGUAGAGGCGAGUGGAAUUCCCGGUGUAGUGGUGAAAUGCGUAGAGAUCGGGAGGAACACCAGUGGCGAAGGCGGCUCGCUGGGCCGGUCCUGACGCUGAGACGCGAAGGCGUGGGGAGCGAACGGG